AAUACGUAGGGUGCGAGCGUUAAUCGGAAUUACUGGGCGUAAAGCGUACGCAGGCGGCCAGGUAAGACAGGUGUGAAAUCCCCGGGCUUAACCUGGGAACUGCAUUUGUGACUGCCUGGCUAGAGUUUGUCAGAGGGGGGUGGAAUUCCACGUGUAGCAGUGAAAUGCGUAGAGAUGUGGAGGAACACCGAUGGCGAAGGCAGCCCCCUGGGACAUGACUGACGCUCAGGUACGAAAGCGUGGGGAGCAAACAGGAUUAGAUACCCUGGUAGUCCACGCCCUAAACGAUGUCGACUAGUUGUCGGGAAUUUGCAUUCUCGGUAACGCAGCUAACGCGUGAAGUCGACCGCCUGGGGAGUACGGUCGCAAGAUU
rnacentral:rRNA from 1 species